GAGGGGAUAGCUCAGUGGUAGAGUGUCAUGCCUAGCAUGCAUGAGGUCCUGGGUUCAAUCCUAGUGCCUCCA
rnacentral:tRNA from 1 species